rnacentral:lncRNA from 1 species
GGAAUGUCUUCUGAAUUGUCAAGAAAGAAAUGCUAUCUUCAAUGUACUUUUGUAAUUAAAUGUAUCCUUAUUGAUAAUCCAGGACAACAUUGACAUACAAAUUAACAUUUCAUCUCAACAUCCUAAUUUGGAGAAAACAAGAUUACAUAUCCCUGUGAAAAGAAGAGAUGGUACUGAAAUUGAGAGGGUCUACAGAGAUAUUUUCCAUUGGAACAGCACCUUUUAUUGGAAAACAAAG